rnacentral:rRNA from 1 species
AAACAUCACCUCUAGCAUAACUAGUAUUAGAGGCACUGCCUGCCCAGUGACUAACCGUUAAACGGCCGCGGUAUCCUGACCGUGCAAAGGUAGCAUAAUCACUUGUUCUCUAAUUAAGGACUUGUAUGAAUGGCCACACGAGGGUUUUACUGUCUCUUACUUUUAAUCAGUGAAAUUGACCUCCCCGUGAAGAGGCGGGGAUAACAAAAUAAGACGAGAAGACCCUAUGGAGCUUCAAUUAAUCAACCCAAAUAUUAUAACCUUAAACCACCAAGGGAUAACAAAAUCUUAUAUGGGCUGACAAUUUCGGUUGGGGUGACCUCGGAGUACAAAAAACCCUCCGAGUGAUUAAAACCUAGGCCCACUAGCCAAAGUAUGACAUCACUUAUUGAUCCAAUCCUUUGAUCAACGGAACAAGUUACCCUAGGGAUAACAGCGCAAUCCUAUUCUAGAGUCCAUAUCGACAAUAGGGUUUACGACCUCGAUGUUGGAUCAGGACAUCCUAAUGGUGCAGCCGCUAUUAAGGGUUCGUUUGUUCAACGAUUAAAGUCCUACGUG